AGUGGCGUUGAAGGUAAAAUUCCAAUAUAUCCUCCUACAGUACUUUUGUAUUACCUGUGAUGGACGUCACAGAUCAUCUAUUUUAACUCUGGCAAGUACCCGAUGAUAUAUGAUGCCACCAACUCUUGUGAUGUACCGUGUAAACUACCGUGUGGUCACCUAUUCUAAAUCUGAUAAUUAGAUAGACUCAAUGCAAGGUGGUUUUGCUUCUUUCUACAAAUUACAUAUAUUUUUUCUCUUGCAUAUACCCCGCUAAGGAAAUAACUAAUUAUGGUUGUAUGAUAAAAUCAUGGAAAAGGAAGUUAAACAGGAUAAUGAUCGUUGUUGCGAAGUGGAUAAACAGAAAAGAUGUGUUGUGUAUAUGCCAUAUUUUCCUUCUCUGGAUUUCAAGGUUGUGCCAUACAGAACAGCUAUAAACCUACAAUGUCUACCUUCUCCCUUAUACACGAGAGCUAAUUCUUGCUAUUUAUUUGCUACCCCGGUUGAUUGCGAGAGCGUGUGAUAUGAUGAUGGCAUGAGGAAUGGAGAGCUAUAAUUUCUAAUGGUUGAAUUUCACAUUUGUACUCUUAAAACUUGUGGGAAGUAAAGCAAGCUACUUUGUUCUAUUUAUUUCAAACAUAUCUAUUAUUCACUAAGGCUCCUGCCUACUUUCAUACUGAUGUUGUGUCUGAAACUGAGCCUCCUCUUAACUCUCUCUGUAGUAAAUGAAGCCCAGAGGUGGAGGGAUUUGGAUGUUGCAAAGUUUACCAGUAUUACUAUUUAAAUAUCAUGAACCUUAUUGUGCAUAAAAAAUGACAGAAAAUAGGACUACUUCAGAGUACACAUUUUAAAUUUACCUGUAUUAUCAUGUAAAUAUUUAUUUUAUUAAGAGUUUGAAUUUUUAGGAGAACACCUCAUGUUCAACCACUUUCAUUUCCCUUCAUUCUUAGUUUCUUACUAAUGGUCGCUCGAUGGUGCUAAUUGGCUUAUGUGGUUAUAGAUGGUGAGUAUUACUGUAUUAGGAAGGCUCGCAUCACCAUUAUUUUUAAGGAAGUUUAAUCCAUGUAUGUUUUGUCCAUGUAAUUUUAAAUUCUUAGCUGCAUGGAAGUGGUACCUUUUAGUUCUUUGUGCCGGUUACAAAAAUAAUCAUCAUUGGGCUGUAAAUUUGACUGGCACAACUUAAGCUGAUUUUUGGUAUUUUUCUUCUUGGUAAGCUUUCAGUUAUAUUGGCAAAAAAAUUGCUUGAAGGUUUCAAAUAUACUACACCGGAACUAUUCCAACAUUGCUAUUGAAAUUUUUCUUGUGGAAGUACUUGGAAGGAAGAUUCUUGCCCAGUUCAACUUCUUUAAUAUUCUUGAAGGACACAUCAAAGAUUUCUAGAUGCAACAAGUUUAUAUGAAUUACACAUGGUAGACAAGGUUAAUGUCACUGUGUAGUCUUUGCCCCUUCUCUAGAAGGGGUAUAUGCUCGAAAAUCGUAUUAUCUUUUGUCCAGACUCAAAUUUUAUAUGGCUGUUUGAUCUGUGGUUAGAAUUUAUUCCCGGUGUCCGUGUCUCACUAAGUUACCUCUGUUGAAACUGAAAAAUGUAUGAAUGCAAAAAUGGUUUAUCAAAUCCAUGCUGAUUGCAAGACAUGCUUGUAUUGAAAAAGCAAUCAUCUUUUCACAUAUACAAAACUUUGUAAGGUUUGAGGUGCUGGUUUUGGAACCGCUUCUGUUUUUGUUUUACUGUACUCCUCUCAAUAGAGAUGCUCCUUUGAACUCUCAAGUUUCUAUUUUUGUUGCAUAGUUCACCGUUUGCAGACCAGUUGUUUGGUUGUCCUUUUAAUCAAAACUUCUGUUGUUAUGUUUGGAGGCAAGUCUGCAUUGGUCUCAUCCUGAUGGAAUUCAUUACAUGGUGGGAAUGUUAAGAGCGGGGACCUUAUAUUUAGAAACAACAAGGUGAUCCAUUUGUUGGUUUGUGCACACCUUCCUGUUAGGUUGUUUUCAAAAAUUAUUGGCAGUGAUGAUCUGGUAAAUCCCGGAUGUUUUAAAUUGUCUGAACUCUUCAGCCUGUGUGUGCCUGCUGUCUUUGCUUAUUGUUUGCUCCUUUAGCUUGAAGAAGCGCUGCACUUAAUUGGCGAGCUUGCUGAGAAAGAAAAGUUGUCACAGCGUGAUGAAAAGAUCGAUGCAUGAAAAGAGGUAUUCAUUAUUCAUUUACCUGUCGUCUCAUCUCUUACUGAAAUCUCAUCUCUCUUACUGAAAUUGCAGAACUGUUUGUGCACAUUGUGAUGUUUCUUUUUUCCGUAAACGCAAUCUAUCAGGUCUAAGCCAUAUCUAUUCCUGGGCAAGAAGGGCAUGAAGUAACACUUUGUCCUAGGUAUAUGCAUUUACUAUUGACCCUCGUUUUCCUCAUUUUCCGAUCGAUCUGUUUCUUUUUAAGACCUUCGCCAUCUCGCGCAAGAUCCUGCCUCAUUGAUUCUUACAUUGUUUCAGGAUGGCAUCUUUUGGUGAUUUAGACGCCUUUUGGAAAAUAUAGAUAUCUGUUACAUGUGUUGGAGGUUUGCGGCUUAUACAUGCAUGUCCUGAAUCUGGUUCUUCGAGGUGAAAUGGGUUGGUCGAAAUCAUGUCUACAACUUCCUUGAAAGAGCUUCUGCACCUCGUGUUUCAGUUUUGGUCACGUUUAUAUCCCUCUGUAGAAGGUCGCAGAGCCUUGGUACCCCUUGUAUGUUCUGUUGACGGUAUCACUUAGUGUUGUUUGGACCAUGUAUUGUAUUCGUGUUCCCUUUUUAUGUUAUUGGUGCUUCAGAAUCUAUAAUCAACUUGCAUUGCUUGUGUACAUGGUUACUUUUGCACCGUUCUGUUGUGGUUCAUAUUACUUGGAUUUUAUACGAUACUAUGACCUGCCAUCCAAUCUAUCUUUAAUAGAGAAACCCCCUUUUUCUCUAUGUAUCUGGAU
rnacentral:lncRNA from 1 species